UAAAGUAGGCGAUCUUAAAACAUGUUUUGAAGUGGGAUAAUGACGGUUUUAUCAAGUGUUGAACUUCUGUAAAGUUCAUGUGUACCUUUGUUCACUUGAGAAUCAAACAUCUGAAUAGUGACUGGAAUGAAAAAAAUAGCUAAAUGGAAUAGCUUCGAAGUUUUACAAUAAAGAGAGAGUUACAUAAGCAGAAGUUCAUUUCUUGGUAGGUAUGGAACCGAAAAAGCCCCGCACAUUUCGGUCUUGGUAGCUUCAAGUUACACGCUAGGAUCAAGUAAGAGUCUCUUGAUUGGCGGGAGCAAUUAAAACCUGAAUCCAUGCGAGGGCCUGGCUGGUAAGCACUUCAGUUCUGCAGAUGAUAGUUUUGUUUGUUUGAAAUUGAACAGUUUUUAUGGAGGUGGAAGAUUUAAUCUGUUGCACAGAAAGUUCAUGAGAGAUAUUGUAAGUUAAUUCAUUCUGGUGCUCUGUUGAUUCUAUCCGAUAUAAUUGUACGAUUACAAUCGGACAUUUGAGACAAAAUAUAAGGGAAGCUGGGGCAAGACGGAGUGGACCUUUUUCUUACCAGUCAGGUGCUGUACUCUGUUGACAACCUUCGUAACUAUCUUGAAGGAGAAGGGCAAGACAAGACUACAAACAAACCGGCAGCCAUCUUGAGUCACGUCUUUGUUGCCAGUGGAUUAAAACGUAUUUCUGUAGGUAGAUUUUGUUAUAAUAUUUGGUGUUUUUAAAGUUGGGACUUGUAAGUUGUGUUAAAAUAAUUUAAUACGUAAUUAGUAUAUUCAAAUAGUAUGUAUCCUUGCCUUAAAUAGUAUCACUACUUCUAUUAUAAAACAUUGAAGCUUAAUUAACCUGAAAACUGUGCGGUGGGACAGGGCAGGGAUACCGGCCUGAGAGCAAGUUUUCUAUAGUAGACAGUGCAAGGCUGGAGGAAAUAUAUUUUUUUAAGUUUAUUCCAAUACAAUUUUGACGUAUAGGUUAUUAUUAUUGAAUUAUUAUUAGGAUAUUGUUUUUUGUUGCAGAAAAUAGUACAUAACGACCAGAGAAAAACGCUCAUGUGAUGGUGACGAAGAUGACGACGAGGUUCAUCAUAUUUGCGAAUUUUGUAAAUACAAUUUUUCAACCAAUAUCAAAUUAUAUGUUUUUAUUUGUGUAACAUUACAUAAGUUGAUUUCGAAAAACAA